rnacentral:rRNA from 1 species
GACGAACGCUGGCGGCGUGCUUAACACAUGCAAGUCGAACGGAAAGGCCUCUUUCGGGGGGUACUCGAGUGGCGAACGGGUGAGUAACACGUGAGUAACCUGCCCUUGACUUUGGGAUAACUUCAGGAAACUGGGGCUAAUACCGGAUAGGAGCUCCUGCUGCAUGGGGGGGGUUGGAAAGUUUCGGCGGUUGGGGAUGGACUCGCGGCUUAUCAGCUUGUUGGUGGGGUAGUGGCUUACCAAGGCUUUGACGGGUAGCCGGCCUGAGAGGGUGACCGGCCACAUUGGGACUGAGAUACGGCCCAGACUCCUACGGGAGGCAGCAGUGGGGAAUAUUGCACAAUGGGUGGAAGCCUGAUGCAGCAACGCCGUGUGCGGGACGACGGCCUUCGGGUUGUAAACCGCUUUCGCUCAUGACGAAGCUUUGUGUGACGGUAGUGGGUAAAGAAGCACCGGCUAACUACGUG